ensembl:lncRNA
CUCCAAGUUUCUUUGUGUCCCAGCCAUUUUCUCCCAUUUGCCUGAUUUUAUCAUGGAUGAUUCAUCCAUGGCUUUCACCACUGACCUCUCCCAGGGCCUGCCGAUAAUUUCAGGGACUCUUGGGAAUGCUCCUGUUUUAUUUGUGACCCCUGCCAGGAGCUAGUUUCUUCAGAGUCUUGGCCUGGCCCGGGAGCCCGGGGGUGGCACGCCUUGCAGGAGGGGGCAGCCAGGGACAGGGAGCAGCAGGAUUGCUAGCGGUGUGUUUCUGGCCGUGCAUCUCCAGACUUCUGCAUUUCUGUGGCAGCAGCCCAGCCCGAGGCUCAGGGUUCACUACAAUAUGUGGGCACCUAGAUACAUCAUAGCGAAAAUGCAAGUUCCUAUAGCUCCAUAUCUAGAGUUCUUGGUGAAGUCUAACUUUAAUACUGGAAAACUUCAGGCGCUCUGGCCCUCUAGAUGCCCAGCCACCCCAGCCUUGUCAUCUGGAGUGACCAGACCCUCUCUGGGAGGUGUGUGGCUGGUGGUUACGAACUCAGCCUCAAACCAAACCAUGUGGGUUUAUUUCCUGCCUUGACCAGCUCUGAGUCCACAUCCCUGAGCCCAGACCCUGUGCUAAACUUGCCUUGACUCCGCCCCUUGCACUUCUGGGGACUCAAAUUUUGUUCCUGAGCUCUAUUUCCUUGCUGAAUCCCCUCUCUCAGAAAGCCUGCCUGAACCCCUUAUUUCUUGUUUAGAAAAUUUGUCUCCUAACCUAGGAGUUGGCAAACCAUGGCCUGUGAGCCAUAUCUGGCCCACCGCCUGUUCUUGUAAAUAAAGUUUUAUUGCGACACAGCCAUUCUCAUGCAUUUACACAUGGUCUGUGGCUGCUUUCCUGGCACAACAGCAGCUGAGUAGUUGUGACAGAGGAAAUAUGGCCCUCCAGUCUAAAACAUUCACUAUCUGGCCCUUGACUGAAAAAGUUUAGUGUUCCUUGUCUGUGUGGGUUGAAUUAUGUCCUCUGAAAAAGAUGUGUUGAAUCUCCAGUACCUCAGCAUGUGGCCUUGUUUGGAAAUAGCAUUGUUAUAGAAGUAAUCACAUUAAAAUGAGGUCAUGAGGGUGAGCCCAAAUCCGAUAUGACUACUGUCCUUAUAAAAAUGGGAAAUUUGGACACAGAGUGUAUUAGCUAUGUUUUCUUAUUUUCUGCAUUUUUGAUGCUCUGGCAUCUGGGGCUUUGGUGACUGGAGUGGGACUGCCCCUCCCAGGGCUAGCCAGUCCCUAGAGAUAGCAAAUGACUUGCACAGAACCACACCCUUCAUGCAUCCUCACCCAUCUGGAGCCCAUUCUCCAAACCACCUCCUCUGUCUGGCUCUUACGCUCCAGGAGGCAAUGGCAAUAUUCCUAAUCACCCAAGGGCAGCAUGGGACCACUAGGAGCACCCCCACAGCCCAGAGCCUGCUGACAUUAUUCAACCCAUCCAAUCCGAAACCUGCUCAGCUUGCGCACCUUGUUUUCCUCCUUCCUUCCCAUGAAAACCACAAUAAGGACUCCUGCCCACACUUUCUCCUCGCUCCUUCUGCCUCCUCACCAGCGCUGCUGCUUCCCUCUGUGGCCCUGCGUGGCAUGCUGUGCCCCCUCCUCGUGGGAACUAUGAGUAACAAACUAUCUUUUCAAAGACAAUCGUCUCCUGAUCUGUUGGGCUCACCAUACCUGAAUAAAACCAAAAUCACAGACACAUUUCAAAACACAGAGACAGAGACACUCAGAGGGAAAGUAACAUAAAGACACAGAGAAAGCGCCAUGUGAAGACGGAAGAGUGAAGUGAUGUAUCUGUAAGCCAAAGAACACUCAAGGCUACCAGAAGCUGGAAGAAAAGCGUGGAACAGUUCCUUCCCUAGCACCUUCAGAGGGAGCACGGCCCUGCCAACACCUUGAUUUUGGACUUCUGGCCUCUGGAAUGUGAGACAAUAAAUUUCUGUUGUUUGAAGCCACUAAGUUUGUAGUAUUUUGUUAUGGCAGCCUAGGAGGCCAAUACACCACCUAACCAAUUAUUUUGUUUUGUUUUCUUUAUUUCUCGUUGUUCUCCUAUUGACACUUUUGUAUGGUGUCUUACUGUCAUUUCAUGGUGACCCUCACACACAUUAUUGCAUUUGGGUCUUGUGAGGUAGGUAGGCCAAUGGGCAGCCCGUUUAACCCAAGACCGAGGCUCAGAGAUUUCGGGGCACUUGCACAAGUUCACCCCACAAGGCAGUAAAUGGGGAAAAAAACUAGUUUCUACUGAGGGCUCGUUAUGUGCUUUCCUCACAUUGUCUCAGGACACCUAUACAACCGACCUGAGGGUUAGUUGCUGAGCAAUUAUACUAAUAAUCAGACAACCAUCAAUGUGAAAAGGAUGCUUUCUUCUCUCCUCACUUCCCCCUGUCUCUACUUGGCAUCUCAAGGCAGAGUGUGAAGGAGGUCAGACAUCCACAGCACUGUACCGUCCCGAGUGGAACCAGCCUUCACUGACUGGACCACCUAGGGAAGUGGUUUCCUCAGAGGGCAAUACCGAACCUUCCAGUGUGUAGUAAAACAGGACAAGAGAACUCCAGAGACCCCUUCUGCUGCCCCCAUGGGCUGUGUGGGGGUCCGAGGAGGGGAGAGUGGGGAGAGGUCUGAGGCUAUUCCAGCGUGUAACGCUGGCGUGAAAGCUGGAGCUGGUUCUGGUCAAGGCUUGGUCUGGACGCCGUGCAUGCCCCCGACCUCUGACGCCAGGUGCCCCUUGAAUCUCCUGAGGUCCCUGCAGCUGUGUUCUCUGUUUCUUCCUUGUCCAGUUGUUACAGCUUCUUCCACA